AUUGAACGCUGGCGGCAGGCUUAACACAUGCAAGUCGAGCGAGCGGCGGACGGGUGAGUAAUGUCUGGGAAACUGACUGAGGGAGGGGGAUAACUCCUGGAAACGGUAGCUAAUACCGCAUACCAUCGGAUGUGCCCAAAUGGGAUUAGCUAGUUGGGGGGGGAAAGGCCCACCUAGGCGACGAUCCCUAGCUGGGCUGAGAGGAUGACCCGCCACACUGGAACUGAGACACGGUCCAGACUCCUACGGGAGGCAGCAGUGGGGAAUAUUGGACAAUGGGCGCAAGCCUGAUCCAGCCAUGCCGCGUGUAUGAAGAAGGCCUUCGGGUUGUAAAGUACUUUCAGCGGGGAGGCGGUACCCGCAGAAGAAGCACCGGCUAACUCCGUGCCAGCAGCCGCGGUAAUUC
rnacentral:rRNA from 1 species